CAGAAAGGUCCAUGGUGGUGCUGUGGACUGCUUCCAGUUCACUAAUUGCGGGACGAUUUCAUAGGAUUAUACUGUUAAGUGACUUAAAGAAGCUUUAAUGACAGUCGGCUGAGCAGCCGCGGCGACUGACGAUCUCUGGGUGGGACGGCGCUGCAGUGAGAUCCAAAGGCCUUGGAGCGGUGACAAUGGACAGCUGUCACCACAUCACAAGAUAACACGUUCUCACUCCGUUCCCUAGAGUUUCCAGCAAUACAGCACCUUCUCAGAAGCCGUAUUUCGUUAUGUAACUUGAAAAAUACCUUUAAGACAACCUUUUGGCUCUGACGGGUAACUUCUCACCAGGAGGCUACAAACAGGUGGAAACCAUCUUCCUUGAGAAGUGACCUGAAGUCACUUGACAAGUGACCUGAAGACAGCAAUGUGAAGGAGGAUAUCACAAAGAACAAAGGUGACAGACAGUCCACACUUCCCAAAGCACACGUACAGGAGGGGCCGCUCAUCACUGUGUAUCACCAACACACGUUUCGUACUUGAUAUGUGUCAAGCACAGGAUGCUUUCAAAUCUGAACUCAAUUCACCUUGAGAACGGACCUUGGCAGUAAUUAAUAUUAGUGUUUGCGGGCACCUGAAACAGAGACACUCUCUGCAUAGACUGACUAAAAGGCGGGAGCACCAGGAUUCAGAUCCACGAAUCUGGCUCCCGAGUCCACGCUUGCAGGUCUUCCCUGAGUGACAUCUUGCACCUGCAGGAGAUGGAAGUUCAUGACCUUAGGACACACCUGAGAUGAAAAAGCAGACUAGAGGCCCAAGGCAUGCUCCUCCUCUCACAUGAUUCCUGAGCAAAUGCAAUCUCUCUCUCCCUCCUCCCCUCCCUUCCCCCUCUUUUUUCUCUGCUCUCCCUCCUCCCUCCCCCUUCUCUCUGAGCUAGAUUCUCACUGUGUAGCCCUGGCUGGCCUGGAGCUUGCUAUAAAGACCAGUCUGGAUUUGAACCCACAGAGAUCAGCCUCCCUCUGCUUCCUGAGUUCUGGGAUUAAAGGCGUGCACCACCAUGCUCAGCCCCAGCAAGUGCUUUGAACU